CUGUGUGUGCGUUCACUGAUUAUCGAAAAUGAGACGCCGAUGCUUCAUCCCAAACUGUAACAGCGGAUAUAAGUACUCCGCGAAAAGCUCUCGAACUUUCAAAGCUCCAAAUGACAUUGAACGCCUGCAAGAAUGGGCGAGAGCUAUAGA
rnacentral:lncRNA from 1 species